rnacentral:miRNA from 1 species
UUGGAGCUAGCUCCAGAGAGAGU